rnacentral:snRNA from 1 species
UCACUUAAAUACCAAAGU